GGUGGAGUGGUGUAGAGGUUAGCACACCCGGCCGGAGAUUGGGAGGCGCAGAGUUCAAAUCGGGGCUCCGCCG
rfam:Ixodes scapularis strain Wikel colony gcontig_1108378715072, whole genome shotgun sequence.